rnacentral:rRNA from 1 species
GACGUAGGGCGCGAGCGUUGUCCGGAUUUACUGGGCGUAAAGGGCGCGUAGGCGGCGCAACAAGUCACUUGUGAAAUCUCCGGGCUUAACCCGGAGCGGCCAAGUGAUACUGUCGUGCUAGAGUGCGGAAGGGGCUACUGGAAUUCUCGGUGUAGCGGUGAAAUGCGUAGAUAUCGAGAGGAACACCUGCGGCGAAGGCGGGUAGCUGGGCCGACACUGACGCUGAGGCGCGAAAGCCAGGGGAGCGAACGGG